rnacentral:rRNA from 1 species
GACGAACGCUGGCGGCGUGCUUAACACAUGCAAUUCGAACGGAAAGGCCCUGCUUUUGUGGGGUGCUCGAGUGGCGAACUGGUGAGUAACACGUUAGUAACCUGCCCUUGACUUUGGGAUAACUUCAGGAAACUUGGGCUAAUACCUUAUAGGAGCUCCUGCUGCAUGGUGUGGUUUGGAAAGUUUCGGCGGUGGGGGAUGGACUCGCGGCUUAUCAGCUUGUUGGUGGGGUAGUGGCUUACCAAGGCUUUGACGGGUAGCCGGCCUGAGAGGGUGACCGGCCACAUUGGGACUGAGAUACGGCCCAGACUCCUACGUGAGGCAGCAGUGGGGAAUAUUGCACAAUGGGCGGAAGCCUGAUGCAGCAACGCCGCGUGCGGGAUGACGGCCUUCGGGUUGUAAACCGCUUUCGCCUGUGACGAAGCGUGAGUGACGGUAAUGGGUAAAGAAGCACCGGCUAACUACGUG